UAUGGUACCUUUCCAGAAUAUGGUGAAGUGACAUUGAUAAUAGACGAUUCAUUUCAUUGGGAAAUCAAUAUAAAUGGCAUAAUCAAACAAAACUGGGAGUUGACGAAGAUGACGAGCCAUGAGUUUGUAUAAUGACAGAUUCCCAUGACUUGCAUGAAAUUGUUGUCUGGUGGGAGAAAGCUUAUUCUCACUGCAUUCACUGAAGCUAGCCUUGAAAAUUAUAGUUGUCUUGUUUUUCAAGAAGCAGAAAACAUGGAAUGUUGGUUCAACGGGACUCAAAGAAUGCAAUUAGAUAAUAAGUGGAUAACAUCAUGACAACAAUUAUUGGCAAAUUGAGGGC